ensembl:lncRNA
CAAGUCUGCUGCCGGGCCAGCUGCUACUUGCUUACACAAGGGAAGACUCGGCCAGUUCGCCAGCCUAAAACCCUGGCCUUAUUUGGGCCUAGGCUUUUCUUAAAGAAAAAGGAUGCCAGCUCAGGUUCCAUUUAUAACCUGGGGACACAGGUAUGGGACCUGCGUGUACUGUGUGGGCAACAGAUAGGAAACUGAGGCCCAAGGAAGCUCACUCAUGGCCACCCAGCUUGUCAGUGACGCAGUGGACCCUGGUGCUGAGAUGGUAUGAAGACUUUUUAUUUCUUAAUUUUUGGAUUAUUUUUUAUUUACAUUUCAAAUGUUAUUCCCUUUCCUAGUUUCCCAGACAUAA